UCCGCGCCUUGGUAGCGACCGGCCGCCGCUAGGCCCCGGCCGCCGCUAGGUCCCGCCCCCCGGGUGCGCAUGCGCGGCGACUGCGCCCGGGUCGUGACACAGCCGUGCGCAGGUGGAGGAUGGGCGCAUGAGGGUCCCGGGGCCGUGGCCUGGCGCAGCGUGUGGACCCCGGCCCAGCCUCUGCGACGUCAGCAGCAUGAGCCUCCCGAGCAGCGGGCCAGCGGGCAGCAUCUUUGACCUGGACUGCACCUCCGGGCAGGUCCGCUGGGCACUGGUGGCCGCCGGGUGCGCCUUCUACCUGGGCGUCUUUGUGGCCUGCCACCAGCUGUCAUCCUCCCUGAACGCCACCUACCGCUCCCUGGGGGCCCGGGAGCAGGUCUUCUGGAACCUGGCGGCCACGCGCGCAGUCUUUGGCAUCCAGGGCACCGCGGCGGGGCUACGGGCGCUGCUGCUGGACCCCGUGCUCCAGGCCGACAAAGUGCUCGGCCAGCAGAACUGGUGCUGGUUCCACAUCGCCACGGCAACCGGCUUCUUCCUCUUCGAGAACCUCGCGCUCCACGUGUCCAAUGCGCUGUUCCGCACGUUCGACGGGUUCCUGGCCGUCCACCACCUCUUCGCCUUCCUCGGGUUUCUGGGCUCCGUGGUCAACCUCCAAGCUGGCCACUACCUGCCCAUGAUCACGCUGCUCCUGGAGGUGAGCACUCCCUUCACCUGCAUCUCCUGGAUGCUCCUAAAGGAAACACAGUGGACUCCUGUGCAUUUUCCUUCACCACAACCCUGUGUCAGAUUGGCUUCGCUGUGUGUGUAUCAGGCGAGCAGACUUUGCUUCGGUAACAGUUAUGGUGACCCAGAUGGAACAUUCGUGCUGAGUGGUUUCCCACCUGUGGCACAUCAGCCCCUGGCGGGUGGCGGCUCUGGGAUCCUGUCCAGCAGCUGCCCGGGCGCUUUUGUCUCAGGGACAGCCCCCAGUGCCUGCCGCUGACUGGGCAUCGCUGGACCACGGCACUUUCGAUUCCCUGAAGGAAGCAAGGCUGUGGUCCUGGUCUGAGACAUCUGGAGUCUCUCGGUCAUCCGGCACUGCCUACAGUCACCCCCCGUUAGACCACGGCUCCUCUGCACCCCGGUUGGAACAGCAGAAUCAUCACAAGGAAAAUAACUUGAUACAAUGGAACUUUUAAGACACUCAAGUUUGUUUCUGAAGCUUAUCACAGCAAUCUCUCUUUGGAUAAAGAUCAUACAUACUGGAAAAGGCAUCAUUGAAAGGACUGUCUCCAACCUAGAUGGAAGGACUCUUACGAGGCUAGGCCACUGUGAAGCACUCGUGUCAACCGCACCAGUCUACUGCUGACUGACUGAAGAAAAACGCACAACCUUCAGGUUUUUUGGGGGGCCGUACUGAGGACUAUAGCCUGUCAGACAGCCCUCAGAGGUUACAGAGGAGCCAGGGUACGUAGGAGUUUUUUGCUUGAAACAGGAAAUUCUGAACAAAGAUUCCUGCUAACCACAAAAACAGGCAUCUCAGGUUAAUGAUUUUAGUGCUUUUCUAUGCAUGAGAAGAUGCAAGAGUCUGGGCUCAGUGAAAAUAUCCUUUAGGUGUGCAUCUUAACUAAGGCCAGUAUCCAGAGCACAGAAUGGUGCCUGGUAUCCUCCAUUCAUGGCCAGUUUGUCCCACAGUGCUGGGAAUUCUCAUUUUGUAGGUCAGAUGAGGACUUGAUAGGCCAAUGUUUUAUUUUUGGAUUAGGCCCUGUUGAUAACCUAAAAUUCUCUGGAUCACCUGUCCUAACUAAUCUGUUAUGAUCCGGGAAGUCUUUUUCCUUGUUUCUUCUCAUAUCUAGAGUUGCACUAUUCCAAUUAUUCAAUAUAGAGUCAUAUAUAUAUAUGACUGACUGCCUCAAGAUUUUAGCCAUCAUUCAUUUUGUCAAAGGCCUGGUUACACAUUGGGUAAUACAAGAGACAAUGAUCUUAUAAAACAGACAGGAUAUCAUACAGGUAGUAACAUUAAUAAAGUCAUAAGUAGGGAUUUAAGCCAUGAGGUUCUGGAACCAAAACCAGCUCCCUAAAACGAUCACCAAGACUAGGAAGUGAAUCACUUAAGGCAGAAAUCUGGUUUUUCGUGUGGGUCAUUAAAUGCAUCCUAUUAGAAGAUUUGUCUGGUAUGAAAACACAGCAUUCAGUUUGAAUUACAGCACAGGUGCCUCCUUGAGAUGCUAUAAGGCUAUCAAGGGCCAUGUGAUUUUGUAAUACCGCUUUUCUCAUCAUAGAGGCCUCAAUGAUUGAUCAUUUAGGGGCUUUUGGGUGAAUUCUGUUAAGGCUUUGAUAUGGGGAGGUCCAUCUUCCAAUCCUACUAAAAGCAUAAAAAUAGAUGCUACAUGAUCAUACCAGGGGAAUACAGAUCUCUUGGUAAAUUUGCUGGAGUCAUCUCUAAAUUAGCACACAAGUGGCCUUGAGCCUUAGGGAAUCCUGAAGUAUAUCUUCCCAUCCAUCCUGGAAGAAGCCAGGGAUGUAGAUUGGUGCCACAAAACCACUGAGUUCCACUGGGUGCAACCCAGUAUACUCCUGGGCGCCUGACCCAGUCUGUUCCAUAUCAAUCACUAUCUUUAAGGGAAAUGAUGAUACACUGACAUUUUUCAUUAAGGCACCCAGCCUAAUUUUCUGGUGUUAUUAGGCUGAAUAUCUUCAGUGUGAUUUAAUUGUUCCUAACAUAGGGAGGCGCCUUAAGGGACCACAGCCUGGUAUUAGCCAUAUAAACCUAUCCCAUAACUGAGGGGGUGUCCCUCCUAAUAGUCAGGAAGUUAUAAUUUUUGACUGAAAUUUAGCUGUUGCUGUAAUUGAGCUUGAGUAACUUUAAGGGAAAACUCAUUUAUGGCCAAAGUCAGAGCAAGAAUGCUUGACUGGCCAAGUGAGGGGUUCCCAUAGUAGCAUCAGCUGCGGAUCAGACAGAACUUGAACUUCUUUUUUCUAAAAUUUUCUAUGGGCCAUCCAAUCAGAGCCUUGGAGAGGAGAAACCCCCUAACCAGAAGUAGUGGAUGUAGGUAAUUGACCACAAACCCAACAACUGGAAUGACUUCUAAAAUCUGCACAGGAUCGUACCCAUGAUAGAAAAACAUUUGAUUCAUGUGCAAAAAGUCCAAGAAAUCAAGAAAAUGUUAUUAAUAAUCAUACGGUAAGGUCCAGCAUCUUGGGAUAGCUGUCUCCUUCUGAUGUCGUCGUCUUCUCGUCCUGGCGUUGGUGUUUCUUUCCUAUCAGAGCAUCGCUUUAAGGGGAGUUUGAGGUCAGCAGUCCUCUCUGUAGACCAGACCGGUGCCUUUUUAGGUGGGAAAUAUGAAUCCAAGAGUCAAUUACCUUCGAUUUUGCUGUGCAUGAGCUACUUAAAAGAACCUGAUAAGGGACCUUCCAUCUAGGUUGGAGAGAGUCCUUUAAAUGAUGCCUUUUCCAGGUUGCAGGUCAUAGGGCAUCUGAUCAUCAUUUAAAGAAAGAGUACUGUGAUAAGGUCCGGAAACAAGCUUAUAAUGUCCUGUUAAUGCAAUUAAACCCUUGCAAUAACGUAACAUACCCCUUCUCAUUAGUAUAGGUUCAUAUAGUCCUUCAUCCAGUCUCACUGGUCUCCCCCUGAUCAGUUCAAAAGGAGACAAAUGUUUUCCGAAACGGGUGGAUCUGAGGUUGAGGAGAACCAAUGGAAGGGCCUUAGGCCAGGUAAGGAAUAAGCAUUCAUCAUCUUAGCCAGUUGGGUUUUAAUUGUUCCCUUUGUUCUUUCUACUAACCCAGAGUACUGGGGGUGGUAAGCACAAUGGAAAUGCUGCGUAACGGGCCCAAUCUUAACCAUUUGUCCAGUAAAAUGAGUUCCUCUGUCAGCAUGUGGUUCUGAGGGGGGUCCCCAGAUGGGCAUCACUCUUCGUAAAAUAAAUUCCCUACCGAUUGGGCUGUGGCCCUUCAGCAUGGGAUGCCUCAACCCAGUGUGAAAACAUACAAAUCAUAACAAGAACAUACUGAUAACCUUGAGAGGGGGGCACUGUAUAAAAUCAGUCUGCCAAAUUGCAACGGGACCUGCAGGUCAUGGCAAAUUCCCUUGAGAACUAUGUAACGGCUUCCCUAGGUUAUAUUUUGGACAAGUGGUACAUCUUGAAUAAACACCUCCCAAGCUAUCACAAAAGCCUUUCGACAAUUUUUUACCCCAUAAUACCGUCUUAUCUGGGUUCCAGUGUAUUAACUCGUGAAUAUAUUGCAAAAUAGGAUAUUGAGCUUCAAACAGAAGGAUAGGCUUCCCGUCUGGGUGUAUCCACAGCUCUUUGCGUGCGUUCAGUCUUCCUCCCUUGUGUGUCCAGGUGUCUGUUUUCUGGUGCUGUUCCUUGAAACUUUACCAUGUCAGUAAGGUUGCUGGGAGGCUGAAAGGGAAAGGCAGUGGUUAGCUGGUUGUUUUUGUUUU